UUGCGUUAGGGGUGGUUGGUCAAAGGGAUGUCGGACGGUGUAAGCGGAUGGUGGAUCAACGUUGAAUUUGUGCUCUAACGAGGGAAUAUUCCUUCGUAGAAAAGAUUUCGUCGCAGAAUCUUUUUCGAGUCCAUAUUUUUCCCCUCCGAAGAAUUAAAUGCAGUCGAGAAAGAAAAAUAAGGUUCAAUAAUUUCGUUGACCGUGUUCUUGGUUAUCGAACUAAUGUUAAUUUUGAUUGCAUUUAGUAUCAAAAAUUAUAUAUGUACCUUAAUAUGUGUCGCAAUACGGUGAAUGGGAUUGGGAACGAUAAGGAAAGGAGAGGUGUGUUAAUCGAUGUCGAAGAAGAAGAGGAAGGAAAAGGAGAUACGGAAGAUGAAGAAGUGCGAGAGAUAUACAAAACUAAUUAAAGGCGUAGGCAGUUCCAAUACCCAGGAAGUAUUGCAAAGGACCUGAAUCGACCGAUAUCCGGAUUGUAAUUCCAAAGAAGAUACGAGAAUUUUAACUACGCUCAACUUGACACUUAAAUAUGAGACAUCCAAAGAGAAACAUAUUUACCUGGUCUUCCUGUUCUUCUGUACAUCCGAUAACAAGUCCUACAUGGAUAAUACAAACGUCAGACCAUCAACCAGAUCAAGGUUUUUGAAGCAACCCAUCGGCGGCGAAUACGCUCUAAAUGGUAGCUGAUAAUCGUAUCAUCGAAUUGUCUGCUUUGUUUCACUGGAGAAAAACUAACGAAAAAAGACCUUUUUCGUUUUCGAAAUAAGAGAGAAGAUGUACGCAACAUGCAUGCAAUAUCGCGCCCUCGAUCCCGCCAACUUGAACUACCGCACAUGUAGGGAGAGAGGUAAUAAAUAAUAGAUUAAUAUGAUAAGGCUGGACGAUAUGUACGAGGGAAUGUAUUACGUCCGUGCAGAUCAUUAAAUCCCGAUCAAUACCAGUUAACAAGCUAAUUCGUAGACAUAGGAGAUCAUAUAUUUUUGUCAAAUAUCAAAAUGUCGUCCUUUAUAAUGCCUUACGAUGUCUGUGAUAAAUGUUGAAGCUAUUUUCUUCCAACACUAUCAUUCGUCUCAUUAUGUAUGAGAUCUCUUCGUUUUCUCGUUGGAUGACAUCACUAUCACUGCUAUCUCUCCCGAUUAAUAUUUAGUUUUUCUAACGUAUCCGUAUAAAUGUGUAUACCUGUAAUUCCCCUUCGGCAUUACAUAUGACUCGAAACUCUUGUUUGUAAAUUUUGCCAUGCUCAACGAAAAAGAAAUAAGUAAGUAAACGGUAUGGUAGUCUCAAAUUGUAGAUUAGGAAAUAACGAAGCGAUAUAUACAAAAUGAAUAUUACUAUUCUGAUUUCCUGAAUUAUUAGUCGAGGGAUCUAUCUGUACUACUCGAUGUUUCAAUACCAAGUGAGUUCAGCUUUGAAAAUCUCUUAAUCCCAGUUUUAUCAAUACUUGUUUACUUCACCAAAUGUCAGCAUGUUAAACGAGGUCUACUCGCAUACCAUUGCAAACAAGUCCAUCUUAUCUCAGAAUGUAAAACUGUCAAACGUAUCUGGUAAAACUGACUGAUAUUCAUUUCAUGUAUCUAGGAAUUAGAUUUCUUUUGCUACUUCAAUAGAAAAAUCCAGAGAGACGUGCAUGUCUUGCAAAAAAAUAUGGCGAUGCAAUCACUCGAUCUUCUCAAAUAACUCACAAACUCUGUAGUUCUUUCGGAGGGGAAAUACGUGAAAGAGAAGAAGAUAAUAUUGGCAAACGAAAAAAUAUGACGAAAGAUUUUCUUUGAGUACAUGUUUUUUAUUAUUUCUUUGAAUACAUAUUUUUAUCAUAUAAUAUUAUUGUAAAAUAACGGAAAUGAAUUCUUCGAUAACUUAAGAUAUAUAUUUUUUUACAAAAGAGAGGGUAAUAUUUGGAGAAAAUGUUUCCAAGGAAUCUGAAAGUAGAUACAACUUCCGACGAAAAAAUUUUUUUUCAUCGGAAGAUUUUACAAAAAGAAUUACAUAGUACGGAAAUUGUAAUAUCAUUAAUAUUUGGUAACAUUAGAAAACUGUUUUUAAGUAUGACUAGGGAUAAGAAAGAAAGAAA